rnacentral:rRNA from 1 species
UACGUAGGGGGCAAGCGUUGUCCGGAUUUAUUGGGCGUAAAGAGCGUGUAGGCGGUUUGGUAGGUCCGCUGUGAAAACUCGAGGCUCAACCUCGAGACGCCGGUGGAAACCAUCAGACUAGAGUCCGGAAGAGAAGAGUGGAAUUCCUGGUGUAGCGGUGAAAUGCGCAGAUAUCAGGAAGAACACCCGUGGCUAAGGCGGCUCUCUAGUACGGUACUGACGCUGAGACGCGAAAGCGUGGGGAGCGAACAGG